UCUCCUGUAGCUCAGUGAUCGAGUGUCCGCCCAAAGUGCGGGUGGUCAUAGGUUCGAGUCCUGUUGGGGGAA